CGGGGGGGGCAAGCGUUGUUCGGAAUUACUGGGCGUAAAGGGCUCGUAGGCGGCCAACUAAGUCAGACGUGAAAUCCCUCGGUUUAACCGGGGAACUGCGUCUGAUACUGGAUGGCUUGAGUUUGGGAGAGGGAUGCGGAAUUCCAGGUGUAGCGGUGAAAUGCGUAGAUAUCUGGAGGAACACCGGUGGCGAAGGCGGCAUCCUGGACCAACACUGACGCUGAGGAGCGAAAGCCAGGGGAGCAAACGGGAUUAGAUACCCCGGUAGUCCUGGCCCUAAACGAUGAAUGCUUGGUGUGGCGGGUAUCGAUCCCUGCCGUGCCGAAGCUAACGCAUUAAGCAUUCCGCCUGGGGAGUACGGUCGCAAGGCUG
rnacentral:rRNA from 1 species